AACGCAAUUUGCGCCCGAGACCUCGGUCGAGGGCACGUCUGUCUGGGCGUCGCAUCCAACAAACGCGCUCCCCCUCAAGGUAGGGGGAGGAGCGGAGAUGGUUGUCCGGGCUCUAUGUGGCGCGGUCGGCUGAAAUGCAUGCGAUGUCCAUUGCCCUGCAUGGAAUAGCGGUGGCCUUUGUCCCCUUGGCGGGGGCGAGAAUCGGUGCAGGGCAGGUGCGGCAUUGCUAGAACUUGGCUUGCCCACUAUCCUUCUGUUCGGAUGGAUAGGUUUGGGCUCCUCCAUUGUGCGACCCCAGCUCAGGCGAGAACACCCGCUGAGUUUAA
rnacentral:misc_RNA from 1 species